GAUGAACGCUGGCGGCGUGCCUAAUACAUGCAAGUCGAGCGAACAGAUAAGGAGCUUGCUCCUUUGACGUUAGCGGCGGACGGGUGAGUAACACGUGGGUAACUUACCUAUAAGACUGGAGUAACUCCGGGAAACCGGGGCUAAUGCCGGAUAACAUGUUGAACCGCAUGGUUCUACAGUGAAAGGCGGCUUUGCUGUCACUUAUAGAUGGACCCGCGCCGUAUUAGCUAGUUGGUGAGGUAACGGCUCACCAAGGCAACGAUACGUAGCCGACCUGAGAGGGUGAUCGGCCACACUGGAACUGAGACACGGUCCAGACUCCUACGGGAGGCAGCAGUAGGGAAUCUUCCGCAAUGGGCGAAAGCCUGACGGAGCAACGCCGCGUGAGUGAUGAAGGUCUUCGGAUCGUAAAACUCUGUUAUUAGGGAAGAACAAAUGCGUAAGUAACUGUGCGCGUCUUGACGGUACCUAAUCAGAAAGCCACGGCUAACUACGUGCCAGC
rnacentral:rRNA from 1 species